rnacentral:tRNA from 2 species
GGAGGGAUGGGUGAGUGGCUUAAACCAGUGGUUUGCUAAACCGCCGAAGGAUUAAUAUUCUUCCGAGGGUUCGAAUCCCUCUCCCUCCGCCA